ACCAGGACAUUGUCAUCCAGGAAGAGGAUGCGAUUAGGCUGAAGAUUGUUGGAACCCGAGUGGACAAGAACAAUAUUUUUGCAAUCGGAUCGCUCAUGGAUGACUACCUUGGUCUGGUCAGUUGAAGCUCCCAAUUCCUGGAUCUGUUUUCCUUCUCCUCGGUUCCAACGUUCCAACACAGUCCUUGGCUCCCUGUGGAGGAAUCUGGCUUGUAGCUCUCCUGUCCCUGUAUUGACAGCAUUGAGGUCUCUUCUCUGGCAGCCGGGAAAUGAAGGCUGGCCGCGUACAACUCUGUUUCUUCAUUAAAAUGUUUGUUUUGUGAUUAAAAUGGCUUAAUCCUUUGUACCUCUUUU